GACGAACGCUGGCGGCGUGCUUAACACAUGCAGGUCGAGCGGUAAGGCCCUUUCGGGGGUACACGAGCGGCGAACGGGUGAGUAACACGUGGGUGACCUGCCCUCAGCUCUGGGAUAAGCCCGGGAAACUGGGUCUAAUACCGGAUAUGACUCCAUGACGCAUGUUGUGGGGUGGAAAGCCUUGUGCGGCUGAGGAUGGGCCCGCGGCCUAUCAGCUUGUUGGUGGGGUGAUGGCCUACCAAGGCGACGACGGGUAGCCGGCCUGAGAGGGCGACCGGCCACACUGGGACUGAGAUACGGCCCAGACUCCUACGGGAGGCAGCAGUGGGGAAUCUUGCGCAAUGGGCGAAAGCCUGACGCAGCGACGCCGCGUGAGGGAUGACGGCCU
rnacentral:rRNA from 1 species